rnacentral:rRNA from 1 species
CCUACGGGUGGCAGCAGUAGGGAAUAUUGCUCAAUGGGGUAAACCCUGAAGCAGCAACGCCGCGUGGAGGAUGAAGGUUUUCGGAUUGUAAACUCCUUUUGUUAGAGACGCUAAUGACGCUAUCUAACGAAUAACCACCGGCUCACUGCGUGCCAGCAGCCGCGGUCAGCAGGAGGGUGCAAGCGUUACUCGGAAUCACUGGGCGUAAAGAGGUCGUAGGCGGGAUGUAAAAUUAGGUGUUAAAGGCGCCGGCUUAACCUGUGUAUGGCAGUUGAUACCUGCGAGCUGGAGUGCGGUAGAGGUAAAGGGAAUGCGUGGUGUAGCGGUGAAAUGCUUAGAUAUCAGGAGGAACAUCGGUGGCGUAAGCGCUUUACUGGGGCGUAAUUGACGCUGAGGAACGAAAGCCAGGGUAGCGAAUGGGAUUAGAUACCCCAGUAGUC